rnacentral:rRNA from 1 species
UCCUACGGGCGGCUGCAGUCGGGAAUUUUGCGCAAUGGGCGAAAGCCUGACGCAGCAACGCCGCGUGAGGGAUGAAGGCCUUCGGGUUGUAAACCUCUUUUCUCAGGGACGAUGAUGACGGUACCUGAGGAAUAAGUCACGGCUAACUACGUGCCAGCAGCCGCGGUAAUACGUAGGUGGCUAGCGUUGUCCGGAUUUACUGGGCGUAAAGAGCGCGCAGGCGGUCGUUCAAGUCGAGUGUGAAAGCCCCCGGCUCAACUGGGGAGGGUCACUCGAUACUGAUCGACUUGAAGGCGGGAGAGGGAAGCGGAAUUCCCGGUGUAGUGGUGAAAUGCGUAGAUAUCGGGAGGAACACCAGUGGCGAAGGCGGCUUUCUGGCCCGUUCUUGACGCUGAGGCGCGAAAGCUAGGGUAGCAAACGGGAUUAGAUACCCCUGUAGUC